rnacentral:rRNA from 1 species
AGUGAACGCUGGCGGUAGGCCUAACACAUGCAAGUCGAACGGCAGCACAGUAAGAGCUUGCUCUUACGGGUGGCGAGUGGCGGACGGGUGAGGAAUACAUCGGAAUCUACUUUUUCGUGGGGGAUAACGUAGGGAAACUUACGCUAAUACCGCAUACGACCUACGGGUGAAAGCAGGGGAUCUUCGGACCUUGCGCGAUUGAAUGAGCCGAUGUCGGAUUAGCUAGUUGGCGGGGUAAAUGCCCACCAAGGCGACGAUCCGUAGCUGGUCUGAGAGGAUGAUCAGCCACACUGGAACUGAGACACGGUCCAGACUCCUACGGGAGGCAGCAGUGGGGAAUAUUGGACAAUGGGCGCAAGCCUGAUCCAGCCAUACCGCGUGAGUGAAGAAGGCCUUCGGGUUGUAAAGCCCUUUUGUUGGGAAAGAAAAGCAGCAGGUUAAUACCCCGCUGUUCUGACGGUACCCAAAGAAUAAGCACCGGCUAACUUCGUG